ACAAGCGGUGGAUGAUGUGGAUUAAUUCGAUGCAACGCGAAAACCUUACUACCCUUGACAUGUCCGGAAUCCCGAAGAGAUUUGGGAGUGCUCGCAAGGAGAACCGGAACACGAGGUGCUGCAUGGCUGUCGUCAGCUCGUGUCGUGAGAUGUUGGGUUAAGUCCCGCAACGAGCGCAACCCUUGUCAUUAGUUGCCAUCAUUUGGUUGGGCACUCUAAUGAGACUGCCGGUGACAAACCGGAGGAAGGUGGGGAUGACGUCAAGUCCUCAUGGCCCUUAUGGGUAGGGCUUCACACGUCAUACAAUGGUCGGUACAGAGGGUUGCCAACCCGCGAGGGGGAGCUAAUCCCACAAAGCCGAUCGUAGUCCGGAUCGCAGUCUGCAACUCGACUGCGUGAAGUCGGAAUCGCUAGUAAUCGUGGAUCAGCAUGUCACGGUGAAUACGUUCCCGGGUCUU
rnacentral:rRNA from 1 species